GAUGAACGCUGGCGGCGUGCCUAAUACAUGCAAGUCGAGCGAACGGACGAGAAGCUUGCUUCUCUGAUGUUAGCGGCGGACGGGUGAGUAACACGUGGAUAACCUACCUAUAAGACUUGGAUAACUUCGGGAAACCGGAGCUAAUACCGGAUAAUAUUUUGAACCGCAUGGUUCAAAAGUUAAAGACGGUUUUGCUGUCACUUAUAGAUGGAUCCGCGCUGCAUUAGCUAGUUGGUAAGGUAACGGCUUACCAAGGCAACGAUGCAUAGCCGACCUGAGAGGGUGAUCAGCCACACUGGAACUGAGACACGGUCCAGACUCCUACGGGAGGCAGCAGUAGGGAAUAUUCCGCAAUGGGCGAAAGCCUGACGGAGCAACGCCGCGUGAGUGAUGAAGGUCUUCGGAUCGUAAAACUCUGUUAUUAGGGAAGAAAAUAUGUGUAAGUAACUGUGCACAUCUUGACGGUACCUAAUCAGAAAGCCACGGCUAACUACGUG
rnacentral:rRNA from 1 species